AUUGAACGCUGGCGGCAUGCCUUACACAUGCAAGUCGAACGGCAGCACGGGAGCAAUCCUGGUGGCGAGUGGCGAACGGGUGAGUAAUAUAUCGGAACGUGCCCAGUCGUGGGGAUAACGUAGCGAAAGCUACGCUAAUACCGCAUACGAUCUAUGGAUGAAAGCGGGGGAUCGCAAGACCUCGCGCGAUUGGAGCGGCCGAUAUCAGAUUAGGUAGUUGGUGAGGUAAAGGCUCACCAAGCCGACGAUCUGUAGCUGGUCUGAGAGGACGACCAGCCACACUGGGACUGAGACACGGCCAGACUCCUACGGGAGGCAGCA
rnacentral:rRNA from 1 species